rnacentral:lncRNA from 1 species
CCCCGCUCCCAGGGGGCUGGCGGAGCCUGCCAGGCGCCGCCACAGCCGCCCCAGCCCCAGCCGCCGCCGCAGCAGCUGGCUCAGGAUGAACUGCCCGGCGAGAGUGCAGGCGCUGAGGACAGCGACGAUCCCGAGACGAGACCCAACGGCGAGAAAGGAGAGAGCAAGUAUUUCAGUGACAUCAUCCACUCAGGAGAGUUGGGGCGAGGCUGGCUGAGGUUCUCAAGGAGCUGAGUUUUGAGUUCAGGUGCUCGUGUAGCAGUGGAAUGAUGCCUCCUGACCUUUCAGACCUUUGAGACCUCUGGGCGGUCUUAGAAAUCACUUCAAGCCUCCAGUCCAGGAUACGACUGCCUAGGGGAAUUCCAGGGAAAGGUGGCAGAGAUGCCAUGGACUACAAGGUGAUGAAUACCACUAUGAGCUCACUACAAGAUCUCAAAGAUUUCAAGCCACUGGCUGUUCCAAAGCAUAAAGCCACCCUUCUGGAGCAGCGGCGGGAGGCAGGCUGGGAGGAGGCCCCGAGUUUUGGCCAGACGAUGGACCACCUCCUUAGGUGUCCGGGGAGCUGCUGAAACAUAAUGAGGAAGAUGCUGCUGAUCCAAAGGAUAAAAACACAGAAACUAGAACCAAGAAGCACCUAAAGUGGGCUCAUGCCCAGCAUCCCUGCAGACUGACUUUCUCUGAGCUAUAGUUCUGCAUUGGACUGUUUUUCCUUUGCUAUCACCUGCCCAACACACAAUCCUGGAUGCUUUUGAUUGGUUUGAUUUCUUUUUUUUUUUUUCCUGCCUUUUCUUUUUCUUUCCUUGACCCUGGGAAUUAUAAACGAGAAAUUGCUUUAAAAAGUAUUGUUCUGUGCUAAAAUUAGCCUUGUUUAUGAACAAGUUUUAUCCCUAGGGAUUUCCUGAAUUGCAAUCCCAGAUUACCUUGUAAAUGGGGCUGUGUUGUUUGAUUUGUAUAGUACUGAUCUGUAGGUUAAAAUACGUUUCCUUUCUUUUGUUUCAUUCUUUUUUUAAAAGUCUGGAUCCAGGUAAUGGCCUGAGUCACAUUUGCUUAGCUACUGAAGCGAUCUCAAUAUGUUAUCGCUUAGAGUUGAAACAUAAUCAAACAUACGUUAUACCUGGGGCUCUUGCACACUAUUUGAUAUAUAUGUUACUCUACAAAGAAACACAAACCUUGUAUGUUGAAAUGUAAUUCCUGUUUGAUCCUGCAGCUAGAAUGCUAAAGAAAUUGCAAAUAUCAAAAGUGACUUCAAAUACCCUGAAUAUAAGCUAGUCAACAGUAAGUGGAUGGUUCCAGAAUACCAUAUUCUAAGACAAAGCAGGAAUUAGAGAUCAACUGACCUCAUCCAUAAUGUUGCUCAGGUCUGUCUGUGGAUCUGUCCAUUUUGGAGUAAAGAACAAGGCAUGCUUCUGUGAUUGUGUUUAUGAAAACUGUAGUAUUUCAGAUUUAUGUUUUGCAAUUGUGCCUGCCUUGCAAUAAAAC